GCGUCAGUCUCGAAGUGGAGUUGGUCAGUGAUCUGUGUCAGAACAGGGCCGCCAAGUCCGCGUCCGUAACACUCUCCUUUUCUCUUCCCGGAUUUUGACGCGACUCCCCGCCCCGCUUCUCUCUCCGUCUGUUUUCUUCACCUCGCCUGCGACACCGUCGUCCACGUUCUGUCGCACGAUCCCCCCGGCGAGAUCGUUACACUCGCGUUCUUUCCCCGGGUCUCUUUCUCUCCUCCGGUAUACUCGGCGAGAUAUACAUACACGAUAAUACACAAGUGCCACAGUGUGGAGUUGUUACCAGUGGGGAAAGAGAAAAAAUUAGUUUACAAGCGGCCCGUGCCUGACGGUGAUUGUCGUCCAUCGCGAUCAACGACCACCGACACUGACACCGGAUAGCUCAACUGUUAGAGCAGAAUCUAACGAAAUUCAGGACAGACCACGAAGAGAGACAGAGAAGGAGCGAGAACAGUAUCGGAACAGAAGAGCCACCGGGUUGCCCAAAGUCAACAAAUGGAGCAUAGAGGCGCGCCGCGCGGGCAGCAGGAGCAGCAGUAGCGUUGAGCUAUCGUCGGGGAACCUGAUCGCCGGGCCCUGUCUCUCGGGCCCGAUCUUG